rnacentral:lncRNA from 1 species
GUGGUAAUUUGUGAUGAAGAGCUAGAUAUGAGUGUUCCUUUUAAGAUGCAUUAGUCAAUUUUCUGCUUUUCAGGGACAUUUAAAGCAGAAAGUGCAUAAAUAAAAUUAAUUGCAUAACUCUGUAGACACCUGUCAAAAUCUUGACAUGUUCGGUCCUUAUAAUUGGCAUUGUAUAUUCAAAGUCAGUUUUGCAAACAGCAGGAGCACAGACUGCCUGAGAGCUGCCUGUUAAAGGGGCAGUCUGCAGUAAUGGAGGCUCUGUCAGCAAUCCUUUAUAGUUAUAGCCGCCACUAGCCAGAGUCUCACAAACCGCCUUCCCCAUUCCAAUUACUUACACAUAUACACAUACAAAGUUUUAGGGCCUGUUUUAUGAGUUUAUUACCUCUCACUGCAGUCUUGCUGAAUGUCUUGACAUCUAACCAAAGUAAAACAUCUGUGUUUGUUAAGAUGCCACUAGCCUCAAUAACAAACAAACUCCAAGAUGUAUAAUAGCUUAAGCAGAAUGAAAUUUUAUUUUAGUCACUUAAAGUCAAAAAUGAGGUGGCUGGUAUAUGCAAACUAUUACAUUUAGAAUGGAUGAGCAAUGAGGUCCUACUGUACAGCACAGGGAACUAUAUCCAGUCUCUUAGGAAAGGACGUGAUGGAAGAUAGUCUGAGAAAAGAAUAUGUGUGUGUGUGUGUGUGAGAGAGAGACUAGAUCACUGUGCUAUACAGUAGAAGUUGACACAACACUGUAAAUCAACUAUACUUUAAUAAAAAAGUAUUUUUAAAUGUGGUGGCUGGCAUAUGGUCAACUCUCAUUCAAGCAGGGAUUCAAAGAUCAGUCUCCUUCCAUCUGCUGGUUUUCUGUUUUCAAAGUGCGACUUCCAAGAUCACCUUGUUCAGUUUCAUUUAGCUGAUAGGAGGAGGAAAGGGCAUAAGGAAAACAUGUGAGGGUUUUGUGGGCCAGGUUCAGAAGUGUUGCUCCAUACUGUCACUCAAGUUCCAUGGGCUUCAAAUCCCCAGUGAAUUGGAGGCUGGGAUAUACAGCCUAGCUAUAUGUCCAGGAAGGGAAGAACACAGUUUUGAUGAAUAGCUCACCAGCAGCAUGUAAAAUUUUGAAACUGCAUUCAUAAUCACCUCUAUAAAGGGGAAGAGGAUGACCCAAAGCAAAGGCUGAAGGUGAUGGAAAAAUUGUAAAAUGUAACACAGUACUUCAUAAAUGAUUGUUAUAAUUAUAUUGAUCUUUUCAUGCAGAGGGAAACAUGCUGAUUAGUUCUGCAAUGAGUUAAACACAGCCACAAAUAAUGCUGGGCCCACUAAUGAAGCGAGCUUAAUUCUUAUAGAGGCUGAAAGAGAAGUUGGUCCAUUGAUGAUGUCUCAUUCCAGACUGGGUUGUAGAGAGAAUGACCUACAGGUCUCAAAAAAGGUAAACACCAGCUUUUAUUUCAGAAUAAAAAAUAUCAGGAAGGUGGGGAUAAAAUGCACUGCAGUCAUUCAUUUAUCCUGCACACAUUUAUUGAACACCUUCUGUAUGCCAGAUACUGUACUGACCUUUGAAAACAGAGCAAUUAGUAAGACAGAACCUUCUAGACCUCACAUGUGAAUGGGAGAAACAAACCUGGAAACUUUGUAGUCAUUAUCAUAGUUAAAAUUCUAUGAAGACAUAGUUGGGGAGUGGUGACCUCUGCUUAGAGGUAUCGGUGAAGAUUGGGUAGAGGAGAUGCCAUUUAACCAGGGGCUGGAAGCAUUGAGUCAUUUCAGAUAGAAGUGAGGCUUUUAGGAAGUAUUAAAUCAUAAUUAAAUAUCUGUACAAGCAUGGAAUCCCAGGGCUACUUUGUGGAGUUCUCUUGCCACAGCAGGUUAAGGAUCUGGCAGCAAUGGUUAACAGCAAUGGUUUGGGUCGCUGCUGUGUUGCAGGUUUGAUCCCUGGCCUGGGAACUUCCACAUGCUGCUGACAUGGCCAAAAAAAAAGUACUUUGAUUUUCUGGAAAAUAGAAACUUUAUAGUAGGAUGCAUCAGUCUGGAGAAGCCAGUUUGUGAAAAAUGGCUUCAAACUUAAGGGUGAAUGGAAUAGUAGGUCUUUGAGUGAGGUCUUAGCAAAGAGUGGACAAUCACUGUGUAUGGCAAUUCUUUGCUGUCAAGCCUCUUAGAAUCUUCUAACUACAGACCAGAAGGCACACCUGCUCACUCACUUCCAUGGUCACUCUUUUUGUAUCAUGUAUGUUCCCAAGGAAUUACGAAAGGAUACAGUAACACAGAUGAAAUUUACUGAAAUAAGUGCAGGGAGAUAAUGAAAAAAAAAGCAGUUUCUUGUCUUUAAAUAUAAGUUGUCUUUACAUAAACAGGAUGAAGCACAGUGUCCUGCUGUUGACCAUUCCCUACUUGGUAGCUCAAAUUAUGACUGAGAUGCUUGUGUAUUAGUGUUAUAUAUUCCAAGGAAAACUGGAUGGGCAAGGUCACAGAGAUGUGACUAAUAAAAUGUGUGUUAGAUAUACUACUUGUAAUAAAUUGUGAGAGGAGAGAGAUGAUUCGAUUCGAAGAAGGAAUAAUUAAACAAAUGGAAUAAUUAAACAAAUAAUUAAACAAAAGGAACCAGAAUUUAAAGAUUUGGAAAAUUUGUUUGCCUACCAACAUUGCAGAAUAUGAGAAAGCCUUCUUUGGUGAGAAUACUAAGGGUGUAACUGGACAGUCACUUUAUAAAGAGAUUAUCUAUGGAGUUCAUUGGCUACUCAGCAGAAGUUAGGACUAGAGAUAGAAUUGUAUCCAAAUAGACACUGACUACCCAUUGGGACUAAAGGAGACAGAGACGUUAUAAAAAAAAGGUUUGUGGACUUCUUGCAUUCUACAGGAAAAGAACAAUAGAAUUAUCCACUAUCCAGCUAUGAAUGUAGCCUUCCUUUAAGAAAAGGAAAGAAUGACUCUGAAGGUAAUUCAGAGAUCAGCCGUGACCCCAGGAGCAAGGCUGCCACCCUUCUUCAGUAGAGAAGGGCCUCCACCAAGAGCCCAAGGGCAGAAGGGGGAAGGCCCAAGAGAACUGGAAGGUGGAACUCUGCCCAAAUGGACCUAGAAGUCAGAACAUUAAGCUAAAGAGAAUUAUUCUCCAUCCUUAAGAACUACCUUGCUAGAUUUUAGACUUGCUUGGGACUCCUCACCCCUUCCUUCUUUCUGAUGUCUCCCUCGUGGGAUGUAAUGUCUAGCCUACAUCAUCUUCACCACUGUAUUUUGGAAGGACAUAACUUAUUUGGUUUCACAGGUUCACAUCUAGAGAGGAGUUUUGCCUCAGGACAGAUCAUACCUAGAGUCUCACUCAUACCUAAUUUAGAAGAUAUUUAGAUAAGAUGUUGGACUUGGAGUUGAUGGUGGGAUAGGUUCAGACUUUGGGAUAGGGUGCAUGUAUUUUGCAUGCCAAAAGAACAGGAAUUUGGGGAGCCAGAAAGCAGAAUAUUAUGGACUGACUUCAAAAUCCUUGCGUUGCAGCCCUGUCAGUAUGUCUGUAUUUACAAAUAGACAUUUUUUGGGAGGUAAUUAAGGUUAAUUGAGGUCAUAAGGACAGGACCUUCAUCCAAUAGCACUGGUGUUCUUAAAAGAAGAGCAAGAGAUGUCAGGAGUGUGUACCAACUAAGGAAAGGCUGAAUCAGGACAUUGUGAGAAGGUGCUGGUCUGCAAGGUAGGGAUAAGAUCCUCAUCAGAAAUGGAAUCUGCCAGAACCCUGACCUUGGACUUCUAGCCCCAUAACUAUGCAAAAAAUACAUUUUUGUUAUUUCUACUACCUAAGGGUGGUAUUUUGUUAUGAUAGCCCUAGUUAACUAAUAAUAUGUGUUUAUAUGUGAUGGACAAGUUAUAUCAUGAUGAUGAUAGUUUAUCAUAUGCAAUAAUAUAUAAAUCCCCAUUUAUACAUUAUCUCAUUGAUAUAUUCUUAAAAAAAAAUCCUUGGUGAUAGUCAUUAUUACCACUGUUUUACAGGUUAAGAAAUUCAAGUCAAACAGGAAAAAUUUAAGCAGCAGAGAGCACGUUGUUAUUCCACUGUAGUUUGGUUCCAUGUGACCAUCUUCAAAGAGCUUAACUUCUCUGAGCUUCAGUUUCAUUGUCCCUUAAGUGAUGAUGGCAUGUGUGCUGCCCUGUUCAGAGGGUUAUUUGCAUGGCUUAAAUAAAAUGACUUAGAGUAAAUCAUUAUUUGUACUCUGGUCAUGAAUGUCUUCAUCAGCAUCAUAUCAUAUUUUGGUGACUUUCUAUUUCCACUCAACUCACUGACUUUUCACAAGACUUUUCUCAAUAUAUCCCAACACCAUUGUCAGUUUCUUCCUUUAGAAGUUUCGGAUGCAGGUUUUUGUUCUGACUGCUGAUGUGUCAUUAGAAAAAGGAUUUGAAUAUAAGACUGUUUUUAAUGACCUCCUUCUAGUCAGCGGUGGAAGAAGAAUGGUUUCCUAAUGAUUUCAUUGAAUUUACACCUGAAGGGUAUUAAUAGAAAUAUUUUGAAAACGUAUUUGUAUUGAAUAGUACCAUGAAAGCAACAUAUAGGUCAUAAUAUUAAUCUUAUUCGUGUUGAGUGCCAGGCCUUUUUGCCCCUUGCUAUCUGUUGUUUUCCUAAAGUCUAACAAGGUUUAUCUGCCCUUCUUUUUUCCAUGUAACAGUAGCUUUUUUUUUUUUAACACUUCAGGUUGAACUUUAUUUCAGCAGGUUUUCUAAAUUGAGUCAAAGAUUUCAACUUCUGGCAAAUAUCUGAAUUGUAAUGUAUCAAAUAGCUUAACAAUAGGAAAUAGCUUUCAAAGAUGUUAAAACAAUAAAGCAGAUUCAAAAAAAAAUCCCACAUACACACACUUUUUGUCUCCAAUACAUAUAGUCCUUAGCCAACUUGAUUUGGUACAGCUGCUAAUGCUUUUUCACAAACAAAUGAGAAUAGACUUCUUGUUACUGAACUCAGGUCCUGCUACUUGCCACUCAAAAAAUCAAUACCUGAGAGGCAGUUGUUGAUAGAGAGGAAAGAUGCUUGAAUCAAAAAAGCUGGCAGGGAGUUCCCAUCGUGGCUCAGAGGUAAUGAACCCAACUAGUGUCCAUGAGAACAUGGAUCUCUAGCUUUGCUCCAUGGGUUAAGGAUCUGGUGUUGCCAUGGACUGUGGUGUAAGUUGCACAGGAGGCUUGGAUCCCAGGUUGCCGUAACUGUGGCAUAGACCAACAGCUGCAGCUCCAAUUUGACCCCCAGCCUGGGAACUUCCAUAUGCC